GUAAACCGCAAGCGUAAUCAAACUAGACUCAAGUCAGCGUUGCGUGCAGGGAAUGGAAAGCAUUUAUAUGCGUUCGUAGCUGAAUUUCCGCUCGCUUUUAGAAAUUUGCUGUAGAUUUCGGGCGGAUAACAAAGGUUGCUAGAUUGUAAAUGGAAAGCUACCCAAAAAUACACAUGAAUGCACUAAAGCUAUUUAAUUUCAGAUCUGCACCCAAGCAACAAAGCAACGGAAAAUUGCCAACUCAUACAAACCGCAGCAAACAAUGCCAGCAGCUGAAAUACCAACACUCAUAAGACUGACAAGCUGAUUGACACUGACUUAGUCAUUCCAACAGCUGACACACGCACAUACAAGUGUCACGCCAAGGUUUCUCGUACGUGCUCUUCGUUUGCAUGUGCGUAAACACACAAAUGGUGAUGGCACCAUAAACACAAAUAUUCCCAAGGAAACCGUAACAUGACAGUUUAUAUUUCCACAAUCUGUCUGAAUCAACGUCUAACUUUACAUCACGUACUUUUCCUGGCAUUCUUACUUGAAUGUGUGCCAAGCUGACUUGUGAUCUGUUUACAGCUCGGUUGCAGUUAUGACUACCGACUACUUGCUUGACAAUGUAACUGAUAGCUAACACUUUUCUGAAAGCUUGCUUUGUCAUAUGUGUGAACAUUGACUCCUGUCAGGUUUAUACCACUAGAUUGCUAGCAACUUAAGUUUGUGCUUAUGAGUGGGUAUGACCCUGCGUAUAAGUAAUAUUUGACGUGCUUUUUUGCAGGGAAAGGAUUUGGGUGGACUGGCAAGAGAACCACUUCGUGUAUAAGUUGAAUAGCAAGUACUUCUGAAAAAUAAAUAUUUGAGGAUUUAAAUCUAAAAACACGCAGUUAAGGCCGAGAGACGGGCUUUUGGUUUUAUUCUGCUAAACAUGCCAGCUUUUUGUCAUAUUUUUAAUCUAUAUUCAAAGCUGUAGUUACAGUCCAUUUAAAUUGAAAAUUAUACGAAAAAUAUACGCACUACAGCAGCA